UUGAAAGGGAAACGAUUGAAGUCAGUCAUACCAACGGGAAAUCAACCUUUUGAGUUUGUUCUUGUGGGUUUCGAGGAGUUUAAAAGCCUUCUGAUUUGCUAGGAUUGGGCUCUUUUGGUGUACUUUCUCGUACGGUUAGUCAACAUCGGUUUUGAAUGUCAUAAAAUGACUGGAGGAAUGUGGCUUCGAUCUCGUAUCGAAGUGUUAUAACCUUUGGUAGAUGUGAUGUUUGAGACCGAGGAUUGCAACGGAUACCUUUCUGGGCUAUUCGUCUGAUCUCCGAUACGUUGCCUUGAUGUCGAAAGCGUGCUUAUGAUGUUAGGGUAUUACGGUCAAAAGGUUAGAACGGAUUAAAUUCGUUAAGGAUGUUGAC
rnacentral:rRNA from 1 species